rnacentral:rRNA from 1 species
UACGAAGGGGCUAGCGUUGCUCGGAAUUACUGGGCGUAAAGCGAGCGUAGUCGGUUAUUUAAGUCGGGUGUGAAAGCCCCGGGCUCAACCUGGGAAUUGCAUUCGAUACUGGAUAGCUAGAGUUCGGCAGAGGGAAGCGGAAUUUCCGGUGUAGCGGUGAAAUGCGUAGAUAUCGGAAGGAACAUCAGUGGCGAAAGCGGCUUCCUGGACCAGAACUGACGAUCAGGCUCGAAAGCGUGGGAGCA